rnacentral:rRNA from 1 species
UACGGAGGAUCCGAGCGUUAUCCGGAUUUAUUGGGUUUAAAGGGUGCGCAGGCGGGAGAUUAAGUCGGCGGUGAAAUUUUGCAGCUCAACUGUAAAAGUGCCUUCGAAACUGGUUUCCUUGAGUGUAGAUGAAGUAGGCGGAAUUUGUGGUGUAGCGGUGAAAUGCAUAGAUAUCACGAGGAACUCCGAUUUCGAAGGCAGCUUACUAAGCUACUACUGACGCUCAGGCACGAAGGCGUGGGGAUCAAACAGGAUUAGAUACCCUGGUAGU